UACGUAGGGUCGAGCGUUGUCCGGAAUUACUGGGCGUAAAGAGCUCGUAGGUGGUUUGUCGCGUUGUUCGUGAAAACUCACAGCUCAACUGUGGGCGUGCGGGCGAUACGGGCAGACUAGAGUACUGCAGGGGAGACUGGAAUUCCUGGUGUAGCGGUGGAAUGCGCAGAUAUCAGGAGGAACACCGGUGGCGAAGGCGGGUCUCUGGGCAGUAACUGACGCUGAGGAGCGAAAGCGUGGGGAGCGAACAGG
rnacentral:rRNA from 1 species